rnacentral:rRNA from 1 species
AGACGAACCGUCCAAACGUUAUUCGGAAUCACUGGGCUUAAAGGGUGCGUAGGCGGCUCGGGAAGUUGCGUGUGAAAGCCCUCAGCUCAACUGAGGAAUUGCGCGCAAAACUGCCGGGCUUGAGGAAGACAGAGGUGCGCGGAACUUAGGGUGGAGCGGUGAAAUGCGUUGAUAUCCUAAGGAACACCAGUAGCGAAAGCGGCUCACUGGGUCUUUUCUGACGCUGAUGCACGAAAGCUAGGGGAGCGAAGAGGAUUAGAUACCCUCGUAGUCCUAGCCGUAAACAAUGAGCACUGGUUUGGAGGGUCCUCCAUAGCCUUCCAGACGUAGCGAAAGUGUUAAGUGCUCCGCCUGGGGAGUAUGGUCGCAAGGCUGAA